rnacentral:rRNA from 1 species
UACGUAGGGAGCAAGCGUUGUUCGGAUUUACUGGGCGUAAAGGGCGCGUAGGCGGCAAAUUAAGUCAGCUGUGAAAUCUCCGAGCUUAACUCGGAACGGUCAGCUGAUACUGAUCUGCUAGAGUGCGGAAGGGGCAAUCGGAAUUCUUGGUGUAGCGGUGAAAUGCGUAGAUAUCGGGAGGAACACCUGUGGCGAAAGCGGCGCACUGGACCAUAACUGACGCUGAGGCGCGAAAGCUAGGGGAGCAAACAGG